rnacentral:tRNA from 2 species
GGGGGUAUCGCCAAGCGGUAAGGCAUAGCACUUUGACUGCUAAAUUCGUUGGUUCAAAUCCAACUACCCCUGCUA